AUUGAACGCUGGCGGCAUGCCUUACACAUGCAAGUCGAACGGUAACGCGGGGCAACCUGGCGACGAGUGGCGCACGGGUAAGUAAUGUAUCGGAACGUGCCCACUCGGGGGGGACAACUGCUCGAAAGAGCACCUAAUACCGCAUACGCCCUGAGGCCGACGGCGGGGGAUCGCAAGACCCCUCGCAGUUAGAGCGCGCGCGAUCAGAUUAGGUAGUUGGUGGGGUAAAGGCUCACCAAGCCAACGAUCUGUAGCUGGUCUGAGCGGACGACCAGCCACACUGGGACUGAGACACGGCCCAGACUCCUACGGGAGGCAGCAGUGGGGAAUUUUGGACAAUGGGCGCAAGCCUGAUCCAGCCAUGCCGCGUGCGGGAAGAAGGCCUUCGGGUUGUAAACCGCUUUUGUCAGGGAAGAAAAGACUCCUGUUAAUACCGGGGGUUCAUGACGGUACCUGAAGAAUAAGCACCGGCUAACUACGUGCCAGCAGCCGCCGUAA
rnacentral:rRNA from 1 species